rnacentral:rRNA from 1 species
UGGGGAAUAUUGGACAAUGGGCGGAAGCCUGAUCCAGCAACGCCGCGUGAGGGAUGACGGCCUUCGGGUUGUAAACCUCUUUCAGUACCGACGAAGCGAAAGUGACGGUAGGUACAGAAGAAGGACCGGCCAACUACGUGCCAGCAGCCGCGGUAAUACGUAGGGUCCGAGCGUUGUCCGGAAUUAUUGGGCGUAAAGGGCUCGUAGGCGGUUUGUCGCGUCGGGAGUGAAAACAGCGGGCUUAACUCGUUGCUUGCUUUCGAUACGGGGCAGACUAGAGGUAUGCAGGGGAGAAUGGAAUUCCUGGUGUAGCGGUGAAAUGCGCAGAUAUCAGGAGGAACACCGGUGGCGAAGGCGGUUCUCUGGGCAUUACCUGACGCUGAGGAGCGAAAGUGUGGGGAGCGAACAGGAUUAGAUACCCCUGGUAGUCCACACCGUAAACGUUGGGCGCUAGGUGUGGGGUCCUUUCCACGGAUUCCGUGCCGUAGCUAACGCA